CAACUGCUUCCAGACGGGCCUCCUAAAAGAGGACUUUAACCAGUUUAGGAACCAGAUUAAGAACUCAUUGUCCACGCAUCCGUUAGGCUGAGAGAGAACCCCUGGUUGAAGACAUGAAAAAACAAAACCCCAGUGGAGUUGUCAUCUCCUCAAAGAUGGACCAGACCUUCCCAUUACGGAGAAGAGAGAUUGUGGAGGCCGGUCAUCCAAUGAAAGCUUUGAAGGAGUGGUGGCCAGCGCUUUUUACAGAGAGAUAAGUAUUUGCAGAGUUCAAAGUGUUUGCAAAGAAGAAUGGGCAAAAAUGUAGGCUACAGCACUCAAGGUUGGAGCAGAUCACUGGGUUAGGUUUGACUGUCCUGAUUUAAGGGUGUUUGGGUUUUGUUUAGGUUUUUCUUUUCAGUUAUGUUUUGGAUCAUGCUUUUGUUUAUUAUUUUCCUGGUUGUGCUUUGGCGUCUGUUUUUUAGUUCAUGUUCUGUAAGAUUAGUUUGUGUCAUUGGAUUUUGUUUUGCUCCACGCACGUUUUGUUUUUACUCCAUGUCUCUGUCAGCUAGUAAUUAUCUUCAUUCGGUCCACCUGCACUAAGCAAUCAGUCUCUCGGUUUCACCUGCACCAUGCGCUUUAUAUUCUCUGCAUUGUUGUUCAUUACUGCUUCCUUUGUUUAUGCCAAGCCUGUUCUGCCUCUGUUCUUCCGCGCCUGCAUUUUCAACCACAUGCGUGCCAGUUUGUUUUCUUUUUGAUUAUUAAAUCUUUCAUUCAUCACACUACAGACCAAA